GGCAGUGUGAUGUAGUGGCUUGAGUAUUGGACUACAACUCUGAAGACUAGGGUUCGAAUUCCUGCUCUGUCA
rnacentral:tRNA from 1 species